rnacentral:rRNA from 1 species
UAACACGUAGGGGGCAAGCGUUGUUCGGAAUUACUGGGCGUAAAGGGCAUGUAGGCGGUUUUGUAAGCCUGACGUGAAAGGCUAUGGCUCAACCAUGGCACUGCGUUGGGAACUGCGAGACUUGAAUCACGGAGAGGGAGCUGGAAUUCCAGGUGUAGGGGUGAAAUCUGUAGAUAUCUGGAAGAACACCAAUGGCGAAGGCAAGCUCCUGGCCGAUGAUUGACGCUGAGAUGCGAAAGUGUGGGGAUCAAACAGG